AUGACCCCUUAUAUCUCCCCCUCUCUUAUCCCGUCCCUUUUCCCCUAAAACCCUAGGCACCGCCCCAAGCCUACCCUCUCUCUCAUGCCAAGAGCGAAAAAAAUGCAGGAUGCACAAAGAUUGUGCAGUCCUUGUACGAUAAAAAAUGUGAAACAAUUAAUGUUUCAAUAUCACUUUUGCUCGAAAUCGUCCAAACACGGUAAUAAAUCCCUUCUUUUAUCCUUCUGAGUCAAACCUACGAUUUUAUGUUAUUUUAUUGUUGUAUUGCAUUGUUACUUUCGCGAUUUCUCAUUGGUCCAUGGUUGUUGGUUCGGAUCGAUACAAAGCAAGACAAAUCUGACCGUAUACACUCGUUUCUUUGUAGAAUCUAGCCAUUAAUUUUAAAGUCUCACAUUUUGCCUCUGAAAUCUGUUUAAGUACCACAUUGGAAUUUCAAGUCUUUGAAUGGACUUCGGUUAUAGAACCCCAACCCUCACCAUUUGAUAAGUUUUCACAACCUAAAAAAAGCUCUAGUUUUGAGUUAAAAACUUAAAAUCUGAGCUAUUAGUAUAAUUUUAGACUUUAGCCUAAAAAGGGUUUGAGUCUCUCUCAGUUUAAAUAUUUUUAUUUACUUUGUUCUUUUGUGUUUGUGUUGCUGAGUUUGAGAAUUGGAAGCAAGGGGUUCCAAAUUCAUUCUUGACAAAGGCUGCGCAAACAAAAGCCAACCUAUUGGGCCAACGGCCGAAUAGGCAAAUUCUUUAAAAAAUUAUCGAGUUCGAUGAAGGGAUAUGGAAGCUAGUAUAUAAACGCAUAGAAGGCCCAGCCAUGGGUGAAAAUGGCCAACUAGGGGCUUGGUACACCCUUAGCCUUCCCUUUCUCCUUAUUUAUUUAUUUAUGCUUCUCUUUUUAUGUGUAAUCUUGUUGUAUUUUGUAAAACUUGUAAAAACUCAGAUAUAUAUUGGAAUUUAUUGUUUGAA